rnacentral:lncRNA from 1 species
GUGUGUGUGUGUGUGUGUGUGUGUGUGUGUGUGUAUGUGUGUGUGUAUGAAAUUCCUUCUGCAAUUAUUUCUGACACAAGGUUUGGAAACAUGGGGUCCCUGAGUGUAAAGGAAGCAAGCGCUGCCGAGAACCCACCGGUCAGGACAAGCAAAUCUCCUGGACCGUCGAAGGUUCUGGACAUAAACAAUUCAACGCUGAUGUUUGUUGGAGGGCUCGGAGGUCAGAUCAAGGUAAAGUUCUUGGGCAUCCUGUUCAGAAGGCCAUCUGAACAGGACCCCUGGCUGAUAUGUGCUCAGUGUUAAAUAUACCCUGCACAAAAUCCAAAAAUUCUUGCUUUUAUUAGUUUUCAUUUCAGCAGGGGAUCAGCUGUUUUUGCAAGGGUAAACGGUCAUUUUUAAUUACGAAGAUGAAGACAAGAGUAAUCAAUGGUGCUGUUUGCCACUUAGACAAUCAUUUCUUCCAGUGAUGAAGUAGGAAAUUAAAUACAUCUAUAGUCAUUUCUGUAAAGUCCCUUUAUCUCUCUUCCAAUUCUAGUGGUAAUUGUGCUAAUUAGUGUAUAGCAAGAGGGCAUAGUAUUUGCAUAAUGACAUCACCUAGUUGAACUGGGUUGGGAGGACAGCCUGCGUCCCUCUAGUCUACUGACCCCUUGUCUGGGCUGGCGACUCACUCACAGCAAACUUUCCCCAGAAACGGAGUGGAUCCUUAGGGGACUGUCCAGAGAUGGCUGUGGUCAUUCACACCUUUAAUCCCAGCAUCCACGAGCCUGAAGCAAGCGAACCGGGAGUGUGAGGCUAACUUGGGCUGUAUCCAUAAACAAGCCUCUUUCUCAAUCCCCUUCCCCCUCAAGGAACAGAAACAAUGUAAAAUGUUCAGGCUUAGAAGUAAUUGUUGCAAACUGGCCAUUUCAUUGAAUGUUCUCUUGGAGUCCGAAGCACUGGAUUUGAGCUCCCAGGGCAGUUUAGAGAAUAUAUGCCUGCCUUCAGGCCUAUGGGUGCGCAGUAUGAGUUUGUUUGUUUGUUUGUUUUUUUGUCUUUGUACCAGAAAUCCCCGGCUGUGAAGGUUACUCAUUUUAAGGGCUGCAUGGGAGAGGCCUUCUUGAAUGGCAAAUCGAUUGGCCUGUGGAAUUACAUCGAGAGAGAGGGGAAGUGCAAUGGCUGCUUUGGAAGGUAGCCCGCCCCACGUUUCUACUUUCUCUUAGCUCUAUACUCCCUAUUCUCAUAAAAGACUAUGAAUGGACUCUUGGUUACCGAAGCCUUUGGGCUAACACUGGGUUUGGAGUCCAACUUUCCCAGUCAUCUAGCAAGGCUUCCUUGGUGACUUUGGCUAAUUUUCCCCUUUCCCUGAAGUUUGGGUGUCUCCCAGACUUCUCGUACUCACCCCGCCCUUACUCCUCAGGGUCAGUAUGCAGUGUGCAUGUGCAAAACAUUAUAAAUCUGAGUGAAACUCUGCUCCAGUGGUCAUCACUGGUCUUCCAAUGAGUCCACGUGAGCAUCCGAUGAGUCCACGUGAGCAUCCGAGGGUUGUUUCCCUGACCCUUGUUGCAGGGAGACGCAGGGCUUGCAGUUGGCAAGAACAGCUUUUAUAUGCACAGUUAGUACGUACAGCUUCUGAACUCUGAGACAUCCCCUUUUGCUCACACCGCAUGUCUAACCAAAAAUAUUCCCAGAAACUUAGUAAAUCUGAUAUGAAAAUAGACCCAACCUCUGGGCUCUGCUCCUCCACUUAACCAAGUUAAAUGGCGGAUGCUGGUUCUCCUUCACUGUGGUAAGGUCGGCCUUUUUGUGUACAUCCCCGGUUUCAUUCCCAGAGACACCUGCCAUCCUACCAGAUUUCCAACCCUUGCCUUUGAAGCAAAGGCUGAGGAAGAAGGGUUGGGAUGCCCCUGAGCUCUGUGUUCACUGAGGGCCUAGUCAUCCCGUGUUCAUUGAGAGUCUAGGCAUCUUGAGUUCACUGAGAGUCUAGGCAUCCUGCUGCUGAGCUGAAAUCCCAGCUGGCUAUAGGAGCAGGUGGAAUGAUUGGUUUAGACAACCUAGGGUUUAAUAAGUAUGUUUCACUGGACACCGAAUGAAGAAAUCUCCCAGCCAUUCUUAUACUUAUGUUGACCAAUAUAUUGACCAAGUUUCAAAUAACCCUAGCUUGGUAGGUUAUUAAUACGUGUUCU